rnacentral:rRNA from 1 species
AAAAAAGGUAAGCUACUAAGAGCGAAUGGUGGAUGCCUUGACUGGUAAAGGCGAUGAAGGACGUACUAGACUGCGAUAAGCUACGGGGAGCUGUCAAGAAGCUUUGAUCCGUAGAUUUCCGAAUGGGGCAACCCAAUGUAUAGAGAUAUACAUUACCUAUAUAGGAGCGAACGAGGGGAAUUGAAACAUCUUAGUACCCUCAGGAAAAGAAAUCAAUAGAGAUUGCGUCAGUAGCGGCGAGCGAAAGCGCAAGAGGGCAAACCCAGUGCUUGCACUGGGGGUUGUAGGACUGCAAUGUGCAAGAGGUGAGUUUAGCAGAACAUUCUGGAAAGUAUAGCCAUAGAGGGUGAUAGUCCCGUAUGCGAAAAACAAACCUUAGCUAGCAGUAUCCUGAGUAGGGCGGGACACGAGAAAUCCUGUCUGAAGCUGGGUCGACCACGAUCCAACCCUAAAUACUAAUACCAGAUCGAUAGUGCACAAGUACCGUGAGGGAAAGGUGAAAAGAACUGAGGUGAUCAGAGUGAAAUAGAACCUGAAACCAUUUGCUUACAAUCAUUCAGAGCCCUAUGUAGCAAUACAGGGUGAUGGACUGCCUUUUGCAUAAUGAGCCUGCGAGUUGUGGUGUCUGGCAAGGUUAAGCAAACGCGAAGCCGUAGCGAAAGCGAGUCUGAAUAGGGCGCUUAGUCAGAUGCUGCAGACCCGAAACGAAGUGAUCUAUCCAUGAGCAAGUUGAAGCUAGUGUAAGAACUAGUGGAGGACUGAACCCAUAGGCGUUGAAAAGCCCCGGGAUGACUUGUGGAUAGGGGUGAAAGGCCAAUCAAACUUCGUGAUAGCUGGUUCUCUCCGAAAUAUAUUUAGGUAUAGCGUUGUGUCGUAAUAUAAGGGGGUAGAGCACUGAAUGGGCUAGGGCAUACACCAAUGUACCAAACCCUAUCAAACUCCGAAUACCUUA